rnacentral:rRNA from 1 species
UACGUAGGUGGCAAGCGUUAUCCGGAAUUAUUGGGCGUAAAGCGCGCGCAGGCGGUUUCUUAAGUCUGAUGUGAAAGCCCACGGCUCAACCGUGGUGGGUCAUUGGAAACUGGGGAACUUGAGUGCAGAAGAGAAAAGCGGAAUUCCACGUGUAGCGGUGAAAUGCGUAGAGAUGUGGAGGAACACCAGUGGCGAAGGCGGCUUUUUGGUCUGUAACUGACACUGAGGCGCGAAAGCGUGGGGAGCAAACAGG